rnacentral:rRNA from 1 species
GACGAACGCUGGCGGCGUGCCUAAUACAUGCAAGUCGAACGCUUCUUCUUCCACCGGAGCUUGCUCCACCGGAAAAAGAGGAGUGGCGAACGGGUGAGUAACACGUGGGUAACCUGCCCAUCAGAAGGGGAUAACACUUGGAAACAGGUGCUAAUACCGUAUAACAAUCAAAACCGCAUGGUUUUGAUUUGAAAGGCGCUUUCGGGUGUCGCUGAUGGAUGGACCCGCGGUGCAUUAGCUAGUUGGUGAGGUAACGGCUCACCAAGGCCACGACGCAUAGCCGACCUGAGAGGGUGAUCGGCCACAUUGGGACUGAGACACGGCCCAAACUCCUACGGGAGGCAGCAGUAGGGAAUCUUCGGCAAUGGACGAAAGUCUGACCGAGCAACGCCGCGUGAGUGAAGAAGGUUUUCGGAUCGUAAAACUCUGUUGUUAGAGAAGAACAAGGAUGAGAGUAACUGUUCAUCCCUUGACGGUAUCUAACCAGAAAGCCACGGCUAACUACGUGCCAGCCGCCGCCGUAA